GAUGAACGCUGGCGGCGUGCCUAAUACAUGCAAGUCGAGCGAACGGACGAGAAGCUUGCUUUUCUGAUGUUAGCGGCGGACGGGUGAGUAACACGUGGAUAACCUACCUAUAAGACUGGGAUAACUUCGGGAAACCGGAGCUAAUACCGGAUAAUAUUUUGAACCGCAUGGUUCAAAAGUGAAAGACGGUCUUGCUGUCACUUAUAGAUGGAUCCGCGCUGCAUUAGCUAGUUGGUAAGGUAACGGCUUACCAAGGCAACGAUGCAUAGCCGACCUGAGAUGGUGAUCCGCCACACUGGAACUGAGACACGGUCCAGACUCCUACGGGAGGCAGCAGUAGGGAAUCUUCCGCAUUGGGCGAAAGCCUGACGGAGCAACGCCGCGUGCGUGAUGAAGGUCUUCGGAUCGUAAAACUCUGUUAUUAGGGAAGAACAUAUGUGUAAGUAACUGUGCACAUCUUGACGGUACCUAAUCAGAAAGCCACGGCUAACUACGUG
rnacentral:rRNA from 1 species